UNGGCUCUAGGCUUCGGGUGCUAUCAUGG
rnacentral:piRNA from 1 species